rnacentral:lncRNA from 1 species
UGAUGAUUUAAGACUGUGGUCACUAGGAAUUUAAUUAAUUCCAACGAGAUUUUAUUUAUAAUUUAUUUACAAAAUGUAGAAAGAGUGAAGAAAGAAAUCAGAGAGAGGAUAAGUUAAGAUAUCUAGCCUGAACACUAAGUAAUUUACUCUUAGCACCUCUGGGCAGGGAGAAUUAGUUUCAGCCGGCCUUGACAAAGCUGAGGAACUUGGCAGUUUCUCAAGAGGAUAGGUCUUUUCUGAGGCCAGUCUCUUCAGAGAAAAUGAAACAGGAGUCAGCUUUUUCACUCAACACAUGUCAGUAGAGUUGGCAGAUCUUUCUGCCUCUCUUCACCAGCCUCAACUUGAUAGCAUGAAGAAUUGUCCAGUCUCCACUUCCAAAAAAUGAACUCUCUCUCACAGGGAGUUGACAGCCCCUUUAAACGACAUUUUCUCUUGCAUCACUUCCUGUGUCUUCCCCUAAUUUUGCAUCUACCAAUCACAGUUUAUUCUCUGUUCUAGGACUUCCCAGAAUGCAGUUAGUCAAUUCUGAUUUGUUUCCCAUUGUCGCACAUAUGAAUCACAGACCUCCCACUUCAUGAUUAAGUUGGAUAUUUGCACUUUUUGGUGACUAGAUCUAAAUGGGCAUGUCUCCAUACUUAACUUUUAAGUAGGGUGUUUACACUUAUGGGGAUGAUUAAAUCUAAAAAUAGGUAAGGGUUACAAUUUAAUCUUCACAAUCAGGAUGAGAGUUAAGUAUUUUUAUUAUUAUAACCAGGAGAGAAUUCAAUUUAAUCUUCACAUGGGAGAGGGGGAGAAGAACCAUACAAUGGAAGGGAAGAAGAGAUUGAUGGCAGGAAUGGUAUGUCACAAACACCUGGGAAGAGGAACUCCAUUCCAUGAAGUCAUGAAAGGCUCACUGCAAAAGAAUAUGAAAAUUUUGCUUGGUGACUACCAGUCUUGAUGGGACUAAUGAAACAAUUGAAUGAUUUAUGGGACCAAAUAGAGCAAGCUCACUUGGAGUUUCAUACUUUUGAGGAAUUAAAGAAACAUGAGAAUUCUGCUAUUCCAAGGAUGCUGGAGUGUCUAAAAGAAGAUGUCCAGUGAAAGCAAGAAAGAGAAAAGGAACUUCAGCAAAGAUAUGCAGAUUUGCUAUUGGAGAAAGAGACUUUAAAGUCAAAUUA